rnacentral:pre_miRNA from 1 species
GUGUGUGUGUAGUUUGGGUAAUGUUUAUCACUUUGAACAAGCAUGUUCACCUGUGUGUGGAUUGUGUUCAGCACCAAGGACAGGCAUGUUCACCU